rnacentral:rRNA from 1 species
UGGCGGCAUGCCUAACACAUGCAAGUCGAGCGCUCCCAGCAAUGGGGGAGCGGCGGACGGGUGAGUAACGCGUAGGAACGUAUCCUGAGGUGGGGGAUAACCCUGGGAAACUAGGGCUAAUACCGCAUGAUGGCGAGAGCCCAAAGAUUUAUCGCCUUGGGAGCGGCCUGCGUCUGAUUAGCUUGUUGGUGGGGUAACGGCCUACCAAGGCGAUGAUCAGUAGCUGGUCUGAGAGGAUGAUCAGCCACACUGGGACUGAGACACGGCCCAGACUCCUACGGGAGGCAGCAGUGGGGAAUAUUGGACAAUGGGCGAAAGCCUGAUCCAGCAAUGCCGCGUGGAUGAAGAAGGUCUUCGGAUUGUGAAGUCC